rnacentral:rRNA from 1 species
AUGCAACUAAUGUCAUGGUUCUACGGCUCUCCUAAAUAUGUACCAUACACGACAAAGGACAUCGCAAACCAGCGAGCUAAAUUCCGCAGGGAGUACCGCCACACUGAUGUGGGAAGCACAAUCUCAUACUUCCAAGAUAUGAAGGCACAAGAUCCAGAUUUUUAUUGGAGAGUAAAACUUGAUGAUGAGGACAGUGUGGAAAAUUUGCUAUGGAUAGAUGGUGCCUCGCGCAGGGCAUAUGCUAGGUACAAUGACGUUGUGUCAUUCGACACAACAUACAUGACAAACAUGUACAAGAUGCCUUGUGCGCCCUUCAUUGGCAUUAAUAACCAUGGGCAGUCAAUCCAGUUUGGUUGUGAAUUUGUUCGAAAUGAACUAUCUACAAACUUUGUGUGGAUGUUUAAUGCAUUUUUGCAUGCAAUGGGUGAAGUUGUGCCAAAGAACAUAAUAAUAGAUCAAUAUUUUGUCAUAAGGAGUGCUAUGGAUGAGGUGUUCAUUGGGAUAGUACACCAGAAUUGUUGCUGGCAUAUAAUGGAAAAGGCCCGGGAGAAGCUUGGGAAGCUAAUGGCUGACGAUGAACCAUUGAACAAGGCAUUCAAGGAUUGUGUUGACAACAGUUUGAUUGGUAUUUUACUUCCCACCCAAACUACCUUAAACACAAAUGAGUUCGCAUGUCUGGGAUCAACAGUUACCAUGUAA